rnacentral:lncRNA from 1 species
CUAUUGAGAGCAAAUCAAAUCAAAUGAUUUUAUUUUUUAUUCUUAAUGUUUUCAAUCUUGGUUCCGUAGGAACAAAUAAUAGAGAUUAAGAAAAAUAGGUCAUUUACAACUACUAAUGAAAGAUUCCUUGAAAAGUUAAAGAUUAGAAAUUUUUUUGAAAAUUCAAAAUAGAAAGGAUUCGGUCUUAUACAUACGCGAGGAAAGUAAUCAAAAAAGAAAGAAGAACUCAUCCUCUUUCUUUUAUCACUUAGGAGCCGUGCGAGAUGAAAGUCUCAUGCAC